rnacentral:rRNA from 1 species
CCCCUAGAUGUUCUGGGCCGCACGCGCGCUACACUGAACAGUUCAACAAGUCUUAACCUUGGCCGAUAGGUCUGGGUAAUCUUUGAACGCUGUUCGUGAUUGGGAUAGACCUUUGCAAUUAUGGGUCUUCAACGAGGAAUUCCUAGUAAUCGCAGUUCAUCAAACUGCAAUGAUUACGUCCCUGCCCUUUGUACACACCGCCCGUCGCACCUACCGAUUGAAUGGUCCGGUGAGGACUCGGGAUUGUGGUUUAGCUCCUUCAUUGGGGCCUGACUGCGAGAACUUGUCCGAACCUUAUCAUUUAGAGGAAGGUGAAGUCGUAACA